AGCAGCCGCGGUAAUUCCAGCUCCAAUAGCGUAUAUUAAAGUUGUUGCAGUUAAAAAGCUCGUAGUUGAAUUUCGGGAUCAGUACGCCGGUCGUGCCUUCGGUAUGCACUGGUGUCACUGAUUCCUCCCUCCUGAAGAACCGUUAUGCCAUUUAUUUGGUGUGGCGGGGAAUCAGGACUGUUACUUUGAAAAAAUUAGAGUGUUUAAAGCAGGCUCGCGCUUGAAUACAUUAGCAUGGAAUAAUGAAAUAGGACGUUUGAUUCUAUUUUGUUGGUUUCUAGGAUCGAUGUAAUGAUUAAUAGGGAUAGUUGGGGGCAUUAGUAUUCAAUUGUCAGAGGUGAAAUUCUUGGAUUUAUUGAAGACUAACUACUGCGAAAGCAUUUGCCAAGGAUGUUUUCAUUAAUCAAGAACGAAAGUUAGGGGAUCGAAGACGAUCAGAUACCGUCGUAGUCUUAACCAUAAACUAUGCCGACUAGGGAUCGGAUGAUGUUAAUUUUUAAUGA
rnacentral:rRNA from 1 species